ACACAAAGGGACCCUUUUACGAUCAAUACCUAUUUUAUUUGGUUACAUCACUCAUACGGUCUCACACACUCACACCACUCAUACCAUUGUUCGCUUUCCCAGUUCAUGUCAUUUAGAAUACGAAACGGUGAUGGUAAGACGUAGAUAUAGUCUCUCUGAGAGACUAUAUAAAUACUCUACUCUCUAGUGCUUUAAUACUAGAUUACAACUUAUCUACCCGCUACUACAAAUAUCUGUGCUACUUAGUAAGUAUGAGUGAGCUAUUAUUUAAUUUAAUUUAAUUAACUAUAGUAAUUAAUAUAUUACCAUGUUUUAUAAUAUCUAUUAUUACCAUGAUUUUAGGUAAAACACGCGAUUGAAAUUCAAACAGUAAAUAUUCAUCACAGACCAUAGUAUAAUCUUAUGACUCAUGGGAAAUUCAUGGAUUUCAGAUUUGUGGUUAACGUGCAUGAUUCUGCUCUGAUAUGCGGUCUUCAUAUAGGUAUAUAAAAUAUAUAAUAAUAAUAUAAUAUUAAAAAACCAACCUGGCAGUGUUAUAUUAUAUAAUAGAGCAUCGUGUAUAGGCACACUAAUGAAUAAUAAUUUACAAAAAUUAAAAUUUCAAACAAAACAAUUAAAUAGUAAAAUAAACAAAUAUAAAUUGGUUGCUAUUGUGUUUAGGACAAUUUACCAUAAUAUUAUUAUAUUGGAGUGCACUUGAAAGUAAAUAAUAUAUUCAAUUAGUUAAACUCAUAAAACAUUCCAUCCUUCUCUUACAUGUUAGUGAAAUAUAUUUAAACAACAGAAAUGUUAAUAAAAUUUAAUAUUUUGGUAUAUGUAUUUUAUUAUUAAUUAUACGGGAGUACAGAACGACAGAAAAAAAUAAGGUGAUAAAAUAUUUUAGUAUUAAUUUUUAUUAGAUAGAGUGAUUUUAGGUUGGAGAGAGUAUUUGUUAGACGCAUUAAACAGUCAAGAGGUUAAUUGCUGCAGUAAUUUGUAGUACGUUUGGGUACUACAUAAGGGGUGAGGGAGUGAGUGGAGUGCUGAAGAACUCGGAAAUUAAUACAAGAGAGGAAGGAAGGUACAUCAAACGAGUAGUCGUGAAUGGGGUGGGGAAUAUUCAAAGUAAACCAGCGAAGGACAGAUUUUAUUAUUUUAAAAUUGGUUAUACUCAAUAUGCAAUAGAGCAUUAUCAUGAAUCAUGAUCAAAUUUGACCCUAAUUACUUUCUUAAAUGAGAGAAGAAGGUGACAGUCAUAGUUUAUAAUUAACUUGUACAUCUAGAAUUGAUAUGGUCAAAACGAUUAGCACUGCAUCACUGUAGUACCAGUGUACCAGUACUACCUUGAACAACACAUGUGUGAUCGAGAGAACUAAUAGUAUCAAUUUUCUAUUAGACAUUAGGUAUUGCAUAGAGUAUUUAAAUCAUAUGAUAUUGGUACAAAUUUCCAAUUGUAUACACGUAACUAUAAAUCUAUAAUACAGUUGUAAUCAAGUUGUUAGUUCUCAUUAUAGAAGGCAAAUUAGAAAGGGUUUCCAAAAUUCACUUAAACGAUAGUGGAAGGCUUCAUUAUCUCUUCUGAUGGUUUGAUUAAGCCUCAUUUUUUAAAUUUAUAUAUAUAUAUAUAGUUAUGGCUGGGGUGACGAAGUGAAUUAGGAUUAAUUGAUAAAUAUUAAUAAAAUAUUAUUUGCAUGAGUUUGUUUGUAUGCAAUAUCAGGAUCAUAAAUUACAUACAAAUUGUGGGGGGGGGGGGGGCUAUAAAAUAGCUAAACUGUUCAAAAUAUUAAACCGGCUGUAUUUUUGCUUAAAUACCUAGUUAUUAACUAGUAAGUUUCUUAAUAUUGUUUUGUAAGAUUACUGUUGUAUUUUAAUUUUAUAAAAUUAAAACUUCUAGUAUGGAAUAUACUCUAUCAACUUCCAAUUCCACCUGUUGCAUCAAAUACAUUUCUAGUUGUACUGUAAUUUCCUAUUUCAGUCUUUGAUAUACAACAUGACGAAACUAAGCAAUAUUGCGAGGUAUAGAUAAAAUUUAUCAUCAUAAAUGAUUUUUUUUUUUAUAUAGAAUUACAAACAUUAACAAAAAAAACUACAAUAAUAUUGUUAUUGGCUGAUAUUGAAAAAUAAAAGUAUAGAAAUUAGAAUAUUAAACUGACAGCCAUCUAGACAUUAUCACACAUUAUUUGUUUAGGUUUUUUAAUGUCAGCUGUAAUAUUUUUUGUUUUAAUGAUUGGUAACAAUAUUUUUUAGCUAAUUUAUUUUUAUUAUUUAAUGUAAACCCCACACAAAUGAGUAACUGAAGAAAGAUGAAAAGCAGACCAAACUUAUCAACUAACUUGUAAAUCUAUGGAAUAAACUUUUUUGCAUAUUGUUUACUCCAUCAUGAGGAGUGGCUCAUGGUUAGGUCUCUUUACUUUAUGUUGAUAUUAGAUUUUUCACUACUCAAUGUCUUUCUCUUUAUAUGUAGAAUGUAUAUGGAUACAAAAUAUUAAAUAUUUAUGUAGGUUCUAGUUAUUUUAUAACUACUGAUGAUAACAAGUAAAUUUGUCAGUAUCCACCCAGUGAACAUUUCUUUUCAGAAAAAGUCCUAUAAAUGAUAAUCUGAGUAAACUUUCUGGUAGAAAAAGAGUUUAAAUAAAAAAAAAUUAAUGUAAAACCAAUAUAUAUCUAGAAAAUAGACUAAUAUCUAAUUUAAUAAUACUAAUGUCUCAAAACUUAAAAAUAAUUAAUUAAUAACAUUUAAUCUGGUUAUAGAUGUGAUGGAAAUUAAAACUGCAACUUCUAUGUAUACCUACAAUUAUGUGUCUUUCAACAGUGAAUAAGCACUGUAGCAAGUUGGGUUUGUUGUUCUUCUGUCAACCACCAAUCUAGAAUGUGAUCUCAAAUUAUAUUGAAAAAUAUUGGUUCAUUAUGGUAAAUAUGGUCUAAGAAAAGUUAAAUGUAUUGUGCUAAAAGCGCUAAGAACUUCUAAUAAUUAUGGUGGAAAUUUAUUACAAGUUUAUACAUAUAAUUAUCAAUUCUUCUAUAUAUAUUGUAGUGUAAAUGAACCAGAAAUACUUUACACUUGUGUUUUAUCAACUGUUUAUAAUAUUGCUACUUAAAAACUACCAAACAAACUGCACAAGAUGGAUCUGUUCACUCACAAAAAGCAAUACUUUUUCAAAUAUAUAUGAACAUAUUAUUAAAAGUUCAUGAAAGUGGUUGUGCAUGGGGUGUAAAGGGACUUUAUAUCCCAUGGACAACCACUUAUAUAUCUUUCAAUGAAAAUGAUCCAGAAAUAUUUAAAACUUGUGUUUUAUCAAUUGUUUAUAGUAUUUCGACUUGUAAACUAUUAAACAAACUGGACAAGGUGAAUCUGUUCACAACCUGAAAUACUUACACAAAUAUAAGUGAACAUAUUAUUGAGAGUUCAUGAAAGUGGGUGUGCAUGGGAUGAAAAGGGACUUCUCAUCCCAUGGACAUCCACUUAUAUAUCUCUCAGUGAAAAUGAUCCAGAAAUACUUAAAACUACCAAACAAACUGAAAAAGAUGGAUCUGUUCACACCCUGAAAUACUUACUCAAAUAUAAGUGAACAUAUUAUUAAAAGUUCAUGAAAGUGGUUGUGCAUGGGGUGAAAAGGGACUUCUCAUCCCAUGGACAACCACUUAUAUAUCUUUCAAUGAAAAUGAUCCAGAAAUAUUUAAAACUUGUGUUUUAUCAAUUGUUUAUAGUAUUUCGACUUGUAAACUAUUAAACAAACUGGACAAGGUGAAUCUGUUCACAACCUGAAAUACUUACACAAAUAUAAGUGAACAUAUUAUUGAGAGUUCAUGAAAGUGGGUGUGCAUGGGAUGAAAAGGGACUUCUCAUCCCAUGGACAUCCACUUAUAUAUCUCUCAGUGAAAAUGAUCCAGAAAUACUGAAAACUACCAAACACACUGGACGAGAUGGAUCUGUUCACAACCUGAAAUACUUACUCAAAUAUAAGUGAACAUAUUAUUGAAAGUUCAUGAAAGUGGGUGUGCAUGGGAUGAAAAGGGACUUCUCGUUCCAUGGACAUCCACUUAUAUAUCUUUCAAUGAAAAUGAUCCAGAAAUAUUUAAAACUUGUGUUUUAUCAAUUGUUUAUAGUAUUUCUACUUGUAAACUAUUAAACAAACUGCACAAGAUGGAUCCGUUCACCCACAACAUAAAACACUUACUCAAAUAUAGGUGAACAUAUUAUUGAAAGUUCAUGAAAGUGGGUGUGCAUGGGAUGAAAAGGGACUUCUCGUCCCAUGGACAUCCACUUAUAUAUCUUUCAGUGAAAAUGAACCAGAAAUACUUGACACUUGUGUUUUAUCAAUUAUAAUAUUUCUACUUGAAAAAGGCCAAACAAACUGCACAAGAUGGAUCUGUUCACUCACAACAUGAAACACUCAAAUAUAUAUGAACAUAUUAUUAAAAGUUCAUGAAAGUGGUUGUGCAUGGGGUGUAAAGGGACUUUAUAUUCCAUGGACAACCACUUAUAUAUCUUUCAAUGAAAAUGAUCCAGAAAUAUUUAAAACUUGUGUUUUAUCAAUUGUUUAAAGUAUUUCUACUUGUAAACUAUUAAACAAACUGCACAAGAUGGAUCUAUUCACUCACAACAUGAAAUACUUACUCAAAUAUAUGUGAACUUAUUAUUGAAAAUUCAUGAAAGUGGGUGUGCAUGGGAUGAAAAGGGACUUCUCGUCCCAUGGACAUCCACUUAUAUAUCUUUCAAUGAAAAUGAUCCAGAAAUAUUUAAAACUUGUGUUUUAUCAAUUGUUUAAAGUAUUUCUACUUGUAAACUAUUAAACAAACUGCACAAGAUGGAUCUAUUCACUCACAACAUGAAAUACUUACUCAAAUAUAUGUGAGCUUAUUAUUGAAAAUUCAUGAAAGUGGGUGUGCAUGGGAUGAAAAGGGACUUCUCAUCCCAUGGACAUCCACUUAUAUAUCGCUCAGUGAAAAUGAUCCAGAAAUACAGAAAACUACCAAACACACUGGACGAGAUGGAUCUGUUCACAACCUGAAAUACUUACUCAAAUAUAAGUGAACAUAUUAUUAAAAGUUCAUGAAAGUGGUUGUGCAUGGGGUGUAAAGGGACUUUAUAUCCCAUGGACAACCACUUAUAUAUCUUUCAAUGAAAAUGAUCCAGAAAUAUUUAAAACUUGUGUUUUAUCAAUUGUUUAUAGUAUUUCGACUUGUAAACUAUUAAACAAACUGGACAAGGUGAAUCUGUUCACAACCUGAAAUACUUACUCAAAUAUAAGUGAACAUAUUAUUGAGAGUUCAUGAAAGUGGGUGUGCAUGGGAUGAAAAGGGACUUCUCGUUCCAUGGACAUCCACUUAUAUAUCUUUCAGUGAAAAUGAACUAGAAAUUCUGGGAACUUGUGUUUUAUCAAUUAUAAUAUUUCUACUUGAAAAAGGCCAAACAAACUGCACAAGAUGGAUCAGUUCACUCACAACAUGAAAUACUUACUCAAAUAUAUGUGAACUUAUUAUUAAAAGUUCAUGAAAGUGGUUGUGCAUGGGGUGAAAAGGGACUUCUCAUCCCAUGGACAACCACUUAUAUAUCUUUCAAUGAAAAUGAUCCAGAAAUAUUUAAAACUUGUGUUUUAUCAAUUGUUUAUAGUAUUUCGACUUGUAAACUAUUAAACAAACUGGAAAAGAUGGAUCUAUUCACUCACAACAUGAAAUACUUACUCAAAUAUAUGUGAACUUAUUAUUGAAAAUUCAUGAAAGUGGGUGUGCAUGGGGUGAAAAGGGACUUUUCAUCCCAUGGACACCCACUUAUAUAUCUUUCAGUGAAAAUGAUCCAAAAAUACUAAUAACUUGUGUUUUAUUAAUUGUUUAUAAAUUUCUACAUGAAAAAAGCCAAACAAACUGCACAAGAUG
rnacentral:lncRNA from 1 species